CACGUAGGGUGCGAGCGUUGUCCGGAAUUAUUGGGCGUAAAGAGCUCGUAGGCGGUGUGUCGCGUCGGCCGUGAAAACCUGCAGCUUAACUGUGGGCGUGCGGUCGAUACGGGCAUCACUGGAGUUCGGCAGGGGAGACUGGAAUCCUGGUGUAGCGGUGAAAUGCGCAGAUAUCAGGAGGAACACCGGUGGCGAAGGCGGGUCUCUGGGCCGAUACUGACGCUGAGGAGCGAAAGCGUGGGGAGCGAACAGG
rnacentral:rRNA from 1 species